GCAGCGCGCCGGCCGCCAUUUUGGGUGAGGGCAAGUUGCCCUGUUCUCUCCUUCCUUGGGAGUCGCGGAGUCGUUCGAGGUCGGGAAAAGGCGGCGACGUCCUUCCGCCCUCCGCCGCCCGCCGAGGCAGCGCUCGGGGCGAGGGACAGGUGCUUCUUUAGCCGAUUCACGUCGAGGUUCAGCUCAGGACGAGUUAAGCCUCUGGCUCGCCACAUAAAAUUACUAAGGUUUUGAAAUACCGAAUCAUCUCGUUAAAAAGCAAAGUGGAGCACUGAUCAGCUUGUCCUUUUCGCCCCGAAAAAACGACUUUCUCACUCACUAAGUCUCUUCCUCUUUUUAAUUCCAUUUGACAGAAGAGGAAGCUGAUGUUUAACAAAGAAAGAAGAGAGGGUUGUACGUGAAACUUACGAGGGGAAGAAAGGGGGGAAAGUCGCCGCCGAACUGACAAAUCGUCCUGGAGACCAACACCACAGACACGGGAUUUUGUUAACGGAUGGAGGCUGCGGUCUUUUUUUUUUUUUUUUUAAUAACCGAUGCUGCGGGAGAAGAUCCGAUGAAACUAAAGGCAUCAAAUACACUUCUGCGUUUCUCUAACAGGUAAAUGCAGAAGCCAAUUCUGUUCACUAAGGACAAUUAAGAAAUCAGAGUCCAACGUUGUACAUAGAACUAUUUGGCCAGCUGACUUGUGAGUGCAAUCAACCAAUUGUAAUUGGUAAUCCUACCAUAAUUCUGAAGACAGCAUUUCAAUGCUUGUGAAAUUGUAUUGCAAAAGCAAAGUCUUUAUCUCUGAAUGUUUUUAAGAUGAUGAAUCUGUGGGAAACAUACUUACUAUAUUCAUUGCAUUUGGGUCCAAUGAUAGUAUUGUUUUUGUUUACCUUUUAAAAAUUAUGACCAUAACUACAUUAGCUAAGAUUUUGUAUCAAGAAAAGAAAAAAUAAAUGACCAGUUAUCAUUUGUUAUA